CUUUCUUUGCUGGCGACCGGCGCACGGGUGAGUGACACGUAUCCAACCUGCCCUUUACUCGGGGAUAGCCUUUCGAAAGAAAGAUUAAUACCCGAUAGUAUAAUGAUUCCGCAUGGUUUCAUUAUUAAAGGAUUCCGGUAAAGGAUGGGGAUGCGUUCCAUUAGGUUGUUGGUGAGGUAACGGCUCACCAAGCCUUCGAUGGAUAGGGGUUCUGAGAGGAAGGUCCCCCACAUUGGAACUGAGACACGGUCCAA
rnacentral:rRNA from 1 species